rnacentral:rRNA from 1 species
UACGAAGGGGGCUAGCGUUGUUCGGAUUUAUUGGGCGUAAAGAGCGUGUAGGCGGCCAGAUAGGUCAGCUGUGAAAACUCGAGGCUCAACCUCGAGAUGUCGGCUGAAACCAUCUGGCUAGAGUCCGGAAGAGGAGAAUGGAAUUCCCGGUGUAGCGGUGAAAUGCGCAGAUAUCGGGAAGAACACCCGUGGCGAAGGCGGUUCUCUGGGACGGUACUGACGCUGAGACGCGAAAGCGUGGGGAGCGAACAGG